rnacentral:rRNA from 1 species
CGGAAUUAUUGGGCGUAAAGCGCGUGUAGGCGUCUUUGCAAGUCGGGUGUGAAAGCCCUCAGCUCAACUGAGGAAGUGCGCCCGAAACUGCAGAGCUUGAGUACCGGAGAGGAUGGCGGAAUUCCCCAAGUAGAGGUGAAAUUCGUAGAUAUGGGGAGGAACACCGGUGGCGAAGGCGGCAAUCUGGACGGAUACUGACGCUGAGACGCGAAAGCGUGGGGAGCAAACAGG